GUCUCUAUCAUGUUCCCUCACGGUUCCCACAAUUCCAGUAUGAUGUGGCUGUGCUGGGAAUUGUGGGAGCCGCGAGGGAGCAUGAUAGAGA